AUUGAAGAAGGUAAUGAAAAAUAAUUUUUUUUUCUCUCUCUAUGUGUAUAUAUAAAUUGAAUAAAAAAAUACAAACAAAAAAAGGGAGAGAAAUGUAGUGUUCGAGUUCUCUUAGUUGAUUUUAGGGCUCAGUUAGCUUCUUAACUGUUCCAUCAAUUUUUCAUUUUGAUUUUUCAGCAAUCAAAUAGAUUCUGUAGAAGAAAAUCUCAGUUUCAUGCAUGUACUAGAUUUUUUUUUUCUCUGUGCUUGUUCUUCUCUGGUAUUAUUAAUUCGUCUACGGAGUAAAAUUAGGGUUUUCGUGCUCUUUGUUUGGUUGCUGAGAAAUUGUAUGAAACAGAAAUGAAAAUUUUGAGAUGCUUUGUCGGGGUUUGUGCCGCGAGAGCUGCAAUUAAGGAGUGUUUGUGCCAUGAGAGCUAGAGAAACAGGAAUUGGAGGAGGUUAGGUUCAUGAUCGAUGUGAAUCUGAUGAGCAUAUUUCAUUUGAUUAAGGCAAAGGAUGAAGAAUUAGAAGAACGGUAGACUGGCGUCGAUCACCAUUAUAUCAUUGCUGAUAGGUCAGGCACAUCAACAAAGACAUUCUUAAAAGGGUGUUGAAACAUGGAAGAAGGAAACCAUAAUGAAAAAGGUAAUGGUACAAAGGAAGUAGAGUACAAGCCUCUUCCUGGAGGCCCAAGUAAUUAUGGCACUCAAAAUGCCACCAAGAAAUCUGAACUAGAGAUUGUACAAGAAGGAUCUUAAUCAACAAAACAACUAUAUUCUUAUCAUGAAGGACCUCAUUUUCCAGACCAGCAAAUGCAGCCAGAAUCAAUUAGUUUAUAAGGAAGAUUGAACUCACAAGCAAAAGAAAAAACUUCAAUCUACUAUCUCGGAUUCUACAACACACAAGUACCUUAAUAAACCAGGAACCACCCAUCAUUUUCGGAAGUCAUUGACCAUGCCAUCUCCCUCAGCAUCAACAAUAAUAGGGACGCAGAGAACAAUGGACAGAAAAUUGCCAAGAAGACAAUGCAACUUCUUGACUUCAUGGCACAGAAACUGUUCUAGAGGUUGGCACUUCUAGAAGUAGAGGAAAGAGGUUCACGUCAGAGUUGAAGUUUGCAAUUACUAGAGAUUUCAACCCUGAAAUGGUGAUAGGAGAAGGUGGGCGUAGUAAAGUGUACCUAAGAUGAUCAUGCUUUUGCUUUUACCCGAGUUUCCAAUAAGUUUUUCAAUUCUCACCUUUUAGAUUUUGUUUCAACAAUGGUAUAUAAUGAAGCACAAGAAGUUAUAGUUUUCCUUUUA